rnacentral:rRNA from 1 species
AUGAAUCUCUUGAGCUGGAACUGCCGAGGAGGGGGGAAUACCCGGACAGUUCCUGAACUAGUGAGUUUCUCUCAGUCACAUCCCCCCACGUUCGUUUUCUUAUGUGAGACUAGACAAAAGGAGAGUAAGAUGAAAAGGAUCAGGAAUUGCUUGGGUCUGAAAGGAUUUACAGGAGUUGAUAGUGAUGGAUUGAGCGGUGGGCUAGCACUAUAUUGGCAU